rnacentral:rRNA from 1 species
CGGUAAUUCCAGCUCCAAUAGCGUAUAUUAAAGUUGUUGCCGUUAAAAAGCUCGUAGUCGAACUUCGGCCUUUGCCGCCCGGUCCGCCCUAUGGGUGUGUACUGGAGCGGUGGAGGCUUACCUCGUGGUGAACGGCCAUGCUCUUUACUGGGUGUGGUCGGGAACCAUGAUUUUUACUUUGAAAAAAUUAGAGUGUUCAAAGCAGGCUUACGCCCGAAUACAUUAGCAUGGAAUAAUAAAAUAGGACGUGCGGUUCUAUUUUGUUGGUUUCUAGAAUCGCCGUAAUGAUUAAUAGGGAUAGUUGGGGGCAUUCGUAUUCAAUUGCUAGAGGUGAAAUUCUUGGAUUUAUUGAAGACGAACUACUGCGAAAGCAUUUGCCAAGGAUGUUUUCAUUGAUCAAGAACGAAGGUUAGGGGAUCGAAAACGAUCAGAUACCGUUGUAGUCUUAACAGUAAACGAUGCCGACUAGGGAUCGGACGAGGAUUUUUAAUGACUCGUUCGGCACCUGAAGAGAAAUCUUUAAGUCUAGGUUCGGGGGGGAGUAUGGUCGCAAGGCUGAAACUUAAAGGAAUUGACGGAAGGGCACCACCAGGUGUGGAGCCUGCGGCUUAAUUUGACUCAACACGGGGAAACUCACCAGGUCCAGACACGACAAGGAUUGACAGAUUGAUAGCUCUUUCUUGAUUUCGUGGUUGGUGGUGCAUGGCCGUUCUUAGUUGGUGGAGUGAUUUGUCUGGUUAAUUCCGAUAACGAACGAGACCUUAACCUGCUAAAUAGCCCGGCCGACUUUGGUUGGUCGCUGGCUUCUUAGAGGGACUAUCAGCGUUUAGCUGAUGGAAGUUUGAGGCAAUAACAGGUCUGUGAUGCCCUUAGAUGUUCUGGGCCGCACGCGCGCUACACUGACCGAACCAGCGAGUUUAUCACCUUGGCCGGAAGGCCUGGGUAAUCUUGUGAAACUCGGUCGUGAUGGGGAUAGAGCAUUGCAAUUAUUGCUCUUCAACGAGGAAUACCUAGUAAGCGUGAGUCAUCAGCUCGCGUUGAAUUCGUCCCUGCCCUUUGUACACACCGCCCGUCGCUACUACCGAUUGAAUGGCUUAGUGAGGUCUCCGGAUUGGCUUCUGGGAGCCGGCAACGGCACCUAGUCGCUGAGAAGUUGAACGAACUUGGUCAUUUAGAGGAAGUAAAAGUCGUAACAAGGUAGCCG